UACGUAGGUGACAAGCGUUGUCCGGAUUUACUGGGCGUAAAGAGCGCGCAGGCGGUCGAUCAAGUCGAGUGUGAAAGCCCCCGGCUCAACUGGGGAGGGUCAUUCGAUACUGAUCGACUCGAAGGCAGGAGAGGGUAGUGGAAUUCCCGGUGUAGUGGUGAAAUGCGUAGAUAUCGGGAGGAACACCAGUGGCGAAGGCGGCCACCUGGGCCGACCCUGACGCUGAGGCGCGAAGGCGUGGGGAGCAAACAGG
rnacentral:rRNA from 1 species